rnacentral:rRNA from 1 species
GACGAACGCUGGCGGCGUGCUUAACACAUGCAAGUCGAACGGAAAGGCCCUGCUUUUGUGGGGUGCUCGAGUGGCGAACGGGUGAGUAACACGCGAGUAACCUGCCCUUGACUUUGGGAUAACUUCAGGAAACUGGGGCUAAUACUGGAUAGGAGCUCCUGCUGCAUGGUGGGGGUUGGAAAGUUUCGGCGGUUGGGGAUGGACUCGCGGCUUAUCAGCUUGUUGGUGGGGUAGUGGCUUACCAAGGCUUUGACGGGUAGCCGGCCUGAGAGGGUGACCGGCCACAUUGGGACUGAGAUACGGCCCAGACUCCUACGGGAGGCAGCAGUGGGGAAUAUUGCACAAUGGGCGGAAGCCUGAUGCAGCAACGCCGCGUGCGGGAUGACGGCCUUCGGGUUGUAAACCGCUUUCGCCUGUGACGAAGCGUGAGUGACGGUAAUGGGUAAAGAAGCACCGGCUAACUACGUG